GGGUUCAAAUCCCAGCCUUGACUAUUUUAAUUAACAUGGAUAACAAUGAAGUGAUUCUUAUAAAAGAAAAGAAAAAGGAACUGCUGCAUUGUUUAGUUUAGUUCAUGAUUGAAGAACAACCUCACAGGAAAUCUUAUGUAUGAUAUGAGCAAGUGCUUCGAGCAUUUCAUCGACGCUAGCUGCGCUGACCUUCUCAUCAUUUGUAUCUAAAUGUACACCCUGCAAACCAAAACUCAGGCAAAUCACUAACCAAGUAUAACUAAAAAAGACAAAGAUUGCACAAUAUCUGUACUAAAUGUAGGAUGGAGAUUGCAGAAAAGAGAAGAUGAAUACAUUUAUCAUAGCAUCAAUGCCAGGAGCAGUCCUGCGAAAGAUGUCCUCAAUGACCAGGAUAAUUGGUUUGACAUCAAGAAAGUGAGUUUCAGGACUGUGAGUUUCCCGAAUUUGUCUCACCAUCGUGCUGUCGUCAGAUAUCAUAUGCCUCCUGUUAUGGUCUCUCUUGCCUCCAGACGAAAAAUGAGGGAUGAUUGCUUUGUUGAAAACUUGAAGCAAUAUGGGAGCUUUAUAUAAUGCUGAGAAGAGGGAACAAGUACCUUGCUUGCAAGGUGAGUUAAAACAAAGUUAAAGUCCAUUUCAUAUUUUUGGAUAAAUAUGUUAUUAUUUGGAUGCGGUGGCCCUAUCCAUGUUUGAAGGCUAUGACAUAAAGAGUUUGCAUAUUUGAGUUUUCAGUCAAAAGGGGAUUUGGAAAGAAAACUUAGUAAAAAGAUCAAAGGAACUGUUGUUUGUUAGGACAUUUUUCUAAUCCACACGUUUUACUAUCAUUUUUUCAUGUCACCAUAUUUGGGGUGUGUGUGUGUGUGGUGUAUAUCAUGGAUUUUAUUAAUGUGACACACUUAUUAGUUUUAAA